AUUGAACGCUGGCGGCAGGCCUAACACAUGCAAGUCGAGCGGAUGAAGGGAGCUUGCUCCUGGAUUCAGCGGCGGACGGGUGAGUAAUGCCUAGGAAUCUGCCUGGUAGUGGGGGAUAACGUCCGGAAACGGGCGCUAAUACCGCAUACGUCCUGAGGGAGAAAGUGGGGGAUCUUCGGACCUCACGCUAUCAGAUGAGCCUAGGUCGGAUUAGCUAGUUGGUGGGGUAAAGGCCUACCAAGGCGACGAUCCGUAACUGGUCUGAGAGGAUGAUCAGUCACACGGGAACUGAGACACGGUCCAGACUCCUGCGGGAGGCAGCAGUGGGGAAUAUUGGACAAUGGGCGAAAGCCUGAUCCAGCCAUGCCGCGUGUGUGAAGAAGGUCUUCGGAUUGUAAAGCACUUUAAGUUGGGAGGAAGGGCAGUAAGUUAAUACCUUGCUGUUUUGACGUUACCAACAGAAUAAGCACCGGCUAACUUCGUG
rnacentral:rRNA from 1 species